AUGGCUCAGAUUGAACGCUGGCGGCAGGCCUAACACAUGCAAGUCGAGCGGUAGAGAGAAGCUUGCUUCUCUUGAGAGCGGCGGACGGGUGAGUAAUGCCUAGGAAUCUGCCUGGUAGUGGGGGAUAACGUUCGGAAACGAACGCUAAUACCGCAUACGUCCUACGGGAGAAAGCAGGGGACCUUCGGGCCUUGCGCUAUCAGAUGAGCCUAGGUCGGAUUAGCUAGUUGGUGAGGUAAUGGCUCACCAAGGCGACGAUCCGUAACUGGUCUGAGAGGAUGAUCAGUCACACUGGAACUGAGACACGGUCCAGACUCCUACGGGAGGCAGCAGUGGGGAAUAUUGGACAAUGGGCGAAAGCCUGAUCCAGCCAUGCCGCGUGUGUGAAGAAGGUCUUCGGAUUGUAAAGCACUUUAAGUUGGGAGGAAGGGCAGUUACCUAAUACGUGAUUGUUUUGACGUUACCGACAGAAUAAGCACCGGCUAACUCUGUGCCAGC
rnacentral:rRNA from 1 species